ACCAGCGAAUGGAAGAUGGACUUUAACCCAGGCAAGUUUGUGAAAUGAUGCAUUCUGAGAAGUUAAAACAGGCUUGGACGUGCUGGGUGAUUAGCAGGGCCCUGGGGAGUGUUACUGAACAGAAAGACCUUGGAGUGCGAGCACAAAGUUGCCUCAGAGCAGUGACACAAGUAGACAGAGGGAUGAAGAACAUGUAUGGUAUGCUUGCUAUUGUUGGCCAAGGCUUUGAGUGGGAGAGUGGGUUGUCACAUUACAGCUGCAGCUGGAGUAUUGUGUGCAGAUCUAGUUGCUGUGCCGUUCCAAAACUGUGAAUAAGUCGGGGAAGGAGCAGAAACAGAAAAGAUUCACAGGAAUGUUGCCUUGAUUGGAGGGGGCCCCACACAGUCCUUCCAGGUGAGGCAGCACUUCACUUGCGAGUCUGACCGAGCUGUCUAGGUACAGAGGAAAUGCAAGGGUGAUAAGUACAUGAGUAGGG